rnacentral:rRNA from 1 species
UACAGAGGUCUCAAGCGUUGUUCGGAUUCAUUGGGCGUAAAGGGUGCGUAGGUGGCGAGGUUAGUCAGGUGUGAAAUCUCGGGGCUCAACCCCGAAACUGCACUUGAUACUGCCUUGCUAGAGUACUGGAGAGGAGAUUGGAAUUUACGGUGUAGCAGUGAAAUGCGUAGAUAUCUGGAGGAACACCGGUGGCGAAGGCGGCAUCCUGGACCGGCAUUGACGCUGAGGCGCGAAAGCCAGGG